rnacentral:rRNA from 1 species
GCGUGAGUGAUGAAGGCCUUCGGGUUGUAAAGCUCUUUUGUUGGGGACGAUAAUGACGGUACCCAACGAAUAAGCCCCGGCUAACUUCGUGCCAGCAGCCGCGGUAAUACGAAGGGGGCUAGCGUUGUUCGGAAUGACUGGGCGUAAAGGGCGCGUAGGCGGUUUGAUAAGUUUGGUGUGAAAGUCCUGGGCUUAACCUGGGGAUUGCAUUGAAAACUGUCAGGCUAGAGUCCGAGAGAGGAAAAUGGAAUUGCGAGUGUAGAGGUGAAAUUCGU